AUAAACGCUGGCGGCGUGCCUUACGCAUGCAAGUCGCACGGGUUCUUCCCUUCGGGGAAGGACGAGUGGCGGACGGGUGAGUAACACGUAUGUAACCUGUCCGAACGUGGGGAAUAACUCGCCGAAAGGCGAGCUAAUACCGCAUAUGGUCGCCGGUGAAAGACCGGUGGACAAAAGCCUUCGGGCGCGUUCGGAGGGGCGUGCGGCCGAUUAGCUAGUUGGUGUGGUAACGGCGCACCAAGGCGACGAUCGGUAGCUGGUCUGAGAGGACGGCCAGCCACACGGGGACUGAGACACGGCCCCGACUCCUACGGGAGGCAGCAGCGAGGAAUUUUGCGCAAUGGGCGAAAGCCUGACGCAGCAACGCCGCGUGGGGGAUGAAGGCCUUCGGGUCGUAAACCCCUUUUGCAGGGGAAGUAACUGACGGUACCCUGCGAAUAAGCCACGGCUAACUACGU
rnacentral:rRNA from 1 species